rnacentral:rRNA from 1 species
GGUUUGAUCCUGGCUCAGAUUGAACGCUGGCGGGAUGCUUACACAUGCAAGUCGGAAUGCAGUACGGACUUUGGUCCGGUGGCGAGCGGCGAACGGGUGAGCAAAUGUAUCACCGGAACGUGCCUAGUAGCGGGUGUAUAACGAUGCGCAAAAGCGUAGCCAGGUCGCGGAGCAUUGCUCUUCCGGGGAAAGCGGGGACCCCGGGCCUCGGUGCGCACCAUUAGAGCGGCCGGAUAUCGGAUUAGCCAGUUGGUGGGUAACGGCUCACCAAGGCGAUGAUUCCGUAGCUGGUUUGAGAGGACGACCAGCCACACGGGGACUGAGACACGGCCCAGACUCCUACGGGAGGCAGCAGUGGCACUUCGACAAUGGGGAAAACCCGAUCCAGCCAUCCCGCGUGCACGAUGAAGGCCUUCGGGUUGGGAAGCACUUUUUGGCAGGAAACGGCACGAUAAUACUACCUGCAACUGACGGUACCUGCAGAAUAAGCACCGGCUAACUACGUGCCAGCAGCCGCAGUAAUACGUAGGGUGCAAGCGUUAAUCGGAAUUACUGGGCGUAAAAGGUGCGCAGGCGGUUCGGAAAGAAAGAGAACUGAAAGCUAAUCUUUGGAACCAUUUGCAACUACCGAGCUAUAGAGCGUGUUGAGUGGAGGUGAAUUCCGCGCGUGUAGCAGUGAAAUGCGUAGAUAUGCGAGAGAAACACCGACACACGAAGCAGUAGCCUCCCUGGGAUAACACUGACGUCGACACGCAGCGUAAGUAAACAGGAUUAGAUACCUCUGGUGAAUCCACGCUCAAAUGAUGUCAACUUAGGCUGUUGGGGCUCAUUCUGGUAGCGCAAAGAUCGCGGUGAAGUUGACCGCCUGGGGAGUACGGUCGCAAGAUUAAAACCUGGUGACCGAUGUGGACCGCACAAGCGGUGGAUGAUGCGGGGAUUAAUUCGCAGAUGCAACGCGAAAAACCUUACCUACCCUGAUAUGUCUGAAUCCCGAAGAGAUUUGGGAGUGCUCGCAAGAGAACCGGAACACAGGUGCUGCAUGGCUGUCGUCAGCUCGUGUCGUGAGAUGUUGGGUUAAGUCCCGCGAGCGCAACCUGUCAUUAGUUACGAAAGCGGCACUCUAAUGAGACUGCCGGUGAUAAAACCGGAGGAAGGUGGGGAUGACGUCAAGUCCCGGUGGCUCUCAGGGUAGGGCUUCACACGUCAUACAAUGGUCGGAUGAGGUCACAACCCGCGAGGGGGAGCCAAUCCCAGAAACCCGAUCGUAGUCCGGAUCGCAGUCUGCAACUCGACUGCGUGAAGUCGGAAUCGCUAGUAAUCGCGGAUCAGCAUGUCGCGGUGAAUACGUUCCCGGGUCUUGUACACACCGCCUGUCACACCAUGGGAGUGGGUUUUACCAGAAGUAGUUUGCCUAACCGUAAGGAGGGCGAUUACCACGGUAGGAUUCAGACUGGGUGAAGUCGUAACAAGGUAG